rnacentral:rRNA from 1 species
UACAGAGGUCUCAAGCGUUGUUCGGAUUCAUUGGGCGUAAAGGGUGCGUAGGCGGCGCGGUAAGUCGGGUGUGAAAUCUCGGAGCUUAACUCCGAAACUGCAUUCGAUACUGCCGUGCUUGAGGACUGGAGAGGAGACUGGAAUUUACGGUGUAGCAGUGAAAUGCGUAGAUAUCGUAAGGAAGACCAGUGGCGAAGGCGGGUCUCUGGGCUGACACUGACGCUCAAGCACGAAAGCGUGGGGAGCAAACAGG